rnacentral:misc_RNA from 1 species
GAAAUGCGAUAAGUAAUGUGAAUUGCAGAAUUCAGUGAAUCAUCGAUUCUUUGAACGCACAUUGCGCCCGCCAGCACUCUGGCGGGCAUGCCUGUUCGAGCGUCAUUUCAACCCUCAGAACCCCUUGCGGGAUCUGGCGUUGGGGAUUGGCAUCCAGCCAGCCCCGAAAUCUAGUGGCGGUCCCUCCGCGACCUCCCCUGUGCAGUAGCGAUACCUCGCAGCGGGACAGCGGUCUGACCACGCCGUAAAACCCCCAACUUCUCAAGGUUGACCUCGAAUCAGGUAGGGAUACCCGCUGAACUUAAGC